rnacentral:rRNA from 1 species
UAGGGAAUAUUAGAAAUGGACGAAAGUCUGAUCUAGCAACACCGCGUGUGCGAAGAAGGCCUUCGGGUUGUAAAGCACUUUUUGGAAGGAUUAGGAAGGAAUGUACUUCCAGAAUAAGUCUCGGCUAACUACGUGCCAGCAGCCGCGGUAACACGUCGGAGGCAAACGUUAUCCGGAUUUACUGGGCGUAAAGCGCGUGUAGGUGGUUCUGUAAGUAGGGCGGGAAAGCUCCUGGCUCAACUGGGAGAGGCCGUUCUAAACUGCAGAGCUAGAGGAUGGUAGAGGGAGGUGGAAGUCCGGGUGUAGCGGUGGAAUGCGCAGAUAUCCGGAGGAACACCAGUGGCGAGAGCGGCCUCCUGGACCAUGCCUGACACUCAGACGCGAAAGCUAGGGUAGCAAACG